CUUGCAUUUCCUGAAAACUGAAACAGUGUUUGCUAGCUUCCAAUCAACUGGGACUUCUCAAGAUUCCCAAGAGUACUGAAAAAUAAUUGAGAGAGGUCUUGCAAUAUCAGACAGCUCUUUGUCGCGUUAAAGGGGUGUAGCUGAUUAACCUUUACGGGCCCGGUUGGAUUCAGAGUACUGAACCAGUCGGACAUUCACCAAAACUGGGGGUCCGUUCGGACAUUCACCAAAAACGUAAUAACCGCCUGGGGGUCCGCUCAGACAUUCACCAAAAAUGUAUUAACCACCUGGGGGUCCGUUCAGACAUUCACCAACAAUGCAUUAACCGUCUGGGGGUCUGGUUAGAUUCAGAACACUGAACUAUCACGGAUAACCACCCUCACCCUAGUUGCAUUAAUGAGAGCUAUCACAAUGCAAUCAAGUAUGGUUUAUUACAGCAACAGAUAAUCAGGUUCUUUUGGAUUGCCGGUGAUAGUGACUAUCUGCAAAAGCAAGAUAGUAUGCAUGAAAUACACAGGUGUUACAGGUGUUACAGAUGUUAUACAGGUGUUGUAGAUGUUAUAGAUGUUACAGAUGUUAUAGAUGUUAUAAGUGUUACAGAUGUUAUAGGUGUUAUAGGUGUUACAGGUGCGCAGCCUAGAAAUAAACGCGUUAAAAGGAUCAAAGACUCUAUAGAGAUUUAUAAGCAAAUAUUCAGAUCUCACCCAAAGGCGUCCCAAUGGGGGGGGAAGAGAGGCUCAGCCCGUCGACUGAUCCCAGGAGUCAGGAGGUCCUAAGGAUGUUGUAUGUCCUCGGGAUGGUAUCUCCCCUGACGGUGGUAUCUUCCCUAACAUCCCCUCUCUCUUGGGCCAAUUUAUAUUAUUUUCUAUCUUUUAAGUGGAGCUUGAGUGGCUCUAGUCAAGCAUAUCUUAGUUAUGAUUGGUGUAAAGUUUUCCCGUCUCCGUUUAAAGUAAUAGGCUCCGAGAAAUUCAGAGCGCAUGCUCAGUGAGGGGUGGUCGCACCUUGGAGGCGGGUAGCUUUUGGGAUGGAGGUGUGUUUUGGUAUUAUAAUGAUAUUAUAAUGAGCAAAAAGUACACUAGGGUACAGCAUUUGUCAAAACAUGACAGGUCUUUGGCUUAGGGUGGCAAAAAGUGCAGCUUUGUGCACAAGAACAAUUGAGGCCCCACCUGAUUACAGAGCCUAGCCGUGGUGUCUCCACUCCACUCCACGCUCCGUGGUGUUCCUUAGAGCUAGCACACCAAGUUUCCCCAGCGCGAUAGCAUCUAAGGUUGGGAGACUAGGGAACGCUCAGGUAAUGCAGUUAUGCCCUACCCUGAAAGCCUCUUCAAUGCUGUACCUUUCCCUUAAAAACGUGAAUGUUAGUUUUAUUUUCCUAGUUACUUCGGGCAUUUACACCACAAACUCUAAAAUAAAUAAAUAGAUAGAUAAAUAGAUAAAUAAAUA
rnacentral:lncRNA from 1 species